CACAAAAGUAAACACACAAAAACAUUGCCUCCUAUCGAGGUCUUCCAGCUAAGAAAGCGGUAAAAAUGCGGGAAAAAUAAAGGGAUCAAAAGGUCUACCGUAUGGAUAAAGAUCCGAAGUAAUAGCAACUAACGACACAAGAAACCCGGAGAUCCCUCAAGCUAGCACCAUCAAAGAAAGCGAGUCAGUACAGGUAAUCAGAAUAAACCUCCAGGUGGUAUCCCA
rnacentral:lncRNA from 1 species